AACUACUGGAAACGGUAGCUAAUACCGCAUAACGUCGCAAGACCAAAGAGGGGGACCUUCGGGCCUCUUGCCAUCGGAUGUGCCCAGAUGGGAUUAGCUAGUAGGUGGGGUAACGGCUCACCUAGGCGACGAUCCCUAGCUGGUCUGAGAGGAUGACCAGCCACACUGGAACUGAGACACGGUCCAGACUCCUACGGGAGGCAGCAGUGGGGAAUAUUGCAC
rnacentral:rRNA from 1 species